CUUAAAUGGUUUUUCAUAUCUGUAGGAAUUAUUACUCUGUUUAGAAGCUGGAAGAUAGGUAGAUAAUAGUGCUAUUGUGUAAGCAUGUAAAGUUUUUGUGUCAUUUCUAUUCCUGCUUCUCUACAACCAGAAAUUGAUUAUUAAUACUGCACAGGGAAGAGCCUCUGAACGUAUAGAUCUACCCCAUCUGAUAUGGAGACCUUAAAACUGGAAUUUUCAAACCCCAGCUGAUUAGCAUCAGGAGAGCUGCCAAAAUGAGCUGACACAAGUGCAGCACUGUCUUCUCCCUACAUAUGUCUUGGAUCAUGAGGCAUAGCAGCAUUUGAGCUUCAGAAUGGUGCUUGAAGAGCAUGCUUCAUGGGGAUAUGAGCAUGGAGUUCAAGGCAAGCUCCUGUUGUACAUCCGUGAAGGUCCAUUGACAAAUUCAUCAAUGUCAUCUUGAUAUCAAGGAUAUUCUGGGGCCUCUACUGGUCAGUGCUGUUCUGCCAAUG
rnacentral:lncRNA from 1 species